rnacentral:piRNA from 1 species
UUACACAGAUGGGAUUCUGGAGCCCAGA